UCAGAUAAUCGCGGGGCGUAAGCCACGAGGAAAGUCCGUGCACCACAGAGCAAGGAUGCUUGAUAACGUCAAGUAGGAGUGAUCCUCAGGCAAGUGCAACAGAAAGUAUACCGCCAAUUUUGGUAAGGUUGGAAUGGUGAGGUAAGAGCUCACCAGCUGUCCUAGUGAUAGGCAGGCUAUGUAAACCCCAUCCGGUGCAAGAACAAAAUGGACAUUAGGAGGCUUGCUCGGCCCGGUCCGGAAAAUGGUAGUUCGCUUGAGCUUAUUAGCAAUAAUAAGACUAGAUAGAUGAUUAUCCACGACAGAACACGGCUUAUAGGUUUACUCU
rnacentral:RNase_P_RNA from 1 species